GCUGCGCGGGCACUCGCACAGCUCGUGUUGAAGCGGCAGGAUCAUGACACAAAGUCAAACCCGUGUACCACUACACAAUGACUUACCUGAAAUGUAUUAUUUAUUAGACACAGAUUAUUUUUAUUAGACAGGGAUUUAGAACUGUGUAUGGAUAAAAAUAAGAAUUUUUAAAAUACUUUUGACAGAAUAAGAUUCAUCAGAAUUUUGCUGUUCCUAUUCCGCCCUGUCUCUGAGGAUUGAUUCCAGUCAUUAAUAGAUGUGUACUCAGGGCCUGAUGCAUUUCCAACAGACACAUCCAGGACUCUCUCCAGUGUAACCGAAAUAUGUCCACUUCAACUUUACGCCUCACUAUGAGAAGAGGCUGAGGAGACGCCCUCUGAGAAGCAUCUUCACCAUUUGCACAAUCGACUGUGAAGUAUCUGCAACAUUCGCACAAUCAACAUGGUCCAGACCAGGGGUCACCAACGCGGUACCCACGGCCGAAUGGUAGCCCACGAGCACCAUAUAAGGUGCCCGCGAGCCCUGGCUGUGCAGAUCCCCACACACCUGCACUGAUUGGGAUGCGGACACCUGCGCCUCAUCUGCAAUAAUUAACCCUGGAAUAUAGAGGACCCAGCGGACGGUCUGUCUUUGCCAGAUCAUCG